rnacentral:rRNA from 1 species
ACGAACGCUGGCGGCAGGCCUAACACAUGCAAGUCGAGCGCUACCUUCGGGUGGAGCGGCGGACGGGUUAGUAACGCGUGGGAAUAUACCCAGUUCUAAGGAAUAGCCACUGGAAACGGUGAGUAAUACCUUAUACGCCCUUCGGGGGAAAGAUUUAUCGCCUUUAGAUGAGCCCGGUCGGAUUAGCUUGUUGGUAGGGUAAUGGCCUACCAAGUCUACGAUCUAUAGCUGGUUUGAGAGGAUGAUCAGCAACACUGGGACUGAGACACGGCCCAGACUCCUACGGGAGGCAGCAGUGGGGAAUCUUGC